rnacentral:rRNA from 1 species
AUACGGGGGGUGCAAGCGUUAAUCGGAAUUACUGGGCGUAAAGCGCGCGUAGGCGGCUUUGUAAGUCGGAUGUGAAAGCCCUGGGCUCAACCUGGGAACUGCAUUCGAAACUGCAUGGCUCGAGUAUGGGAGAGGGAAGUGGAAUUUCCGGUGUAGCGGUGAAAUGCGUAGAUAUCGGAAGGAACACCAGUGGCGAAGGCGACUUCCUGGCCCAAUACUGACGCUCAGGUGCGAAAGCGUGGGGAGCAAACAGGAUUAGAAACCCCAGUAGUCC